AACGAACGCUGGCGGCAGGCCUAACACAUGCAAGUCGAGCGGACCCUUCGGGGUUAGCGGCGGACGGGUGAGUAACGCGUGGGAAUAUGCCCUUCUCUACGGAAUAGUCCUGGGAAACUGGGGGUAAUACCGUAUACGCCCUUUGGGGGAAAGAUUUAUCGGGGAAGGAUUAGCCCGCGUUGGAUUAGGUAGUUGGUGGGGUAAUGGCCUACCAAGCCGACGAUCCAUAGCUGGUUUGAGAGGAUGAUCAGCCACACUGGGACUGAGACACACCAGACUCCUACGGGAGGCAGCAGUGGGGAAUCUUAGACAAUGGGGGCAACCCUGAUCUAGCCAUGCCGCGUGAGUGAUGAAGGCCUUAGGGUUGUAAAGCUCUUUCAGCUGGGAAGAUAAUGACGGUACCAGCAGAAGAAGCCCCGGCUAACUCCGUG
rnacentral:rRNA from 1 species